AGGUAGUAAUUAAACCAAUUUAUAAUGACGGUGUUCAAUCUUAUUAGAGGAAUUUGUUUAUUAAUCGAUAAUCCCCGUUAAAUUUCACUUUCAUAUAAAAUUUAUAUACCGCCAUUAAACGAUUUUAUUCAAACUCAUUUUCUAAAAAAUAAAUAAAAAAUUAGGUCAAGGUGUAAUCCACAUAAAAGGCAUAAAUGAUUUACAAUAAAAAUAAUUUAUGGAUUUAUCAAUAUAUUUUUAAAAAAAAUAGGAUUUAAAUGUAAUAUAAUAACAAUAUUUUUAUAUGAAUAAGACAAAAACAUGU
rnacentral:rRNA from 1 species